rnacentral:rRNA from 1 species
AUACGUAGGGGGCGAGCGUUGUCCGGAAUGAUUGGGCGUAAAGGGCGCGUAGGCGGCCCGGUAAGUCUGGAGUGAAAGUCCUGUUUUUAAGAUGGGAAUUGCUUUGGAUACUGUCGGGCUUGAGUGCAGGAGAGGUAAGUGGAAUUCCCGGUGUAGCGGUGAAAUGCGUAGAGAUCGGGAGGAACACCAGUGGCGAAGGCGGGUAACUGGACUGCAACUGACGCUGAGGCGCGAAAGUGUGGGGAGCAAACAGGAUUAGAUACCCUGGUAGUCCACACAGUAAACGAUGAAUGCUAGGUGUAAGAGGUAUCGACCCCUUUUGUGCCGGAGUCAACACAAUAAGCAUUCCGCCUGGGGAGUACGGCCGCAAGGUUGAAACUCAAAUGAAUUGACGGGG